UCCGGACGGGGCAAGCGUUGUUCGGAAUCAUUGGGCGUAAAGGGCGCGUAGGUGGUUCUGUAUGUCUACCGUGAAAGCAUACAGCUCAACUGUAUUUUGUCGGUAGAAACUGCAGGACUUGAGGCUGGGAGGGGCUGGUGGAAUUCCCUGUGUAGCGGUGAAAUGCGUAGAGAUGGGGGAGAACACUCGUGGCGAAGGCGGCCAGCUAGACCAGUUCUGACACUGAGGCGCGCCAGCGUGGGGAGCAAACAGG
rnacentral:rRNA from 1 species